rnacentral:lncRNA from 1 species
AGGGAAAGGAUGAAAUUAAUACAUAAAAAUAAAAUUCUUAAAAUGAAAGAAAUCUUAUGAAAGAAUUUAACAAUUAUUUUAAUUAAUGAUGUUCAAAAAGGAAACAUUGCAGUGUAUAUGACUCUAAAUAUGUGUAUACUAUGCUAAAAUUGAUUCAACAUAUAAUAUUUUAUGCACUAUGAUGCACUUUGUAUUGUGAUGUAAAUGAAUAUAUGUCAUUGCAGGAAAUAAAGCUUGUUUGAAAAUUAAAUUUUUGAAGUGUGUUGUCUUCAUGUGUCUAGUUUUCUUCAUCAAGGCCUUUACUUCGUUUUCCAUUCGCCUGGAAGGAAGGAUUCCAGUACUCAGGUUUAUUUUAUGAUUUAAUUUUGGUAAUGCAUUAUGUGGAAAAUAUUGCACAAAUAUAUUAUUUCAUAUUCUUUCUCACUUUAAUAUCAUUUGAAUGUAUGCAUUACUAGUAAUUAUAUUAAUGUGUGCAGAUUAUGAUUUAUGAUUAUGAUUUCCAUUGCUUGUGUGCAGAUGAUUUGAAGCAUAAUAUUUUUUGGAGGGCUGAUGAUUGCAAAUUAUCAUUUAUGUUUUGUGAAUUAAUUUGAGUGUUGAUUAUGAUUUGCAAAGUAUGAUUUCUUUUCUGUUGCCUUGUGGAAAACUGUAUGAUGCAUGAUAUUCAAUAUGAUUUUAAUUGAAUGAAAAGGACAAAAAUAACAUGAUACUAUUGAUCUUAUCCAAACAGGUUCAACAUCGUUUUGAUAACGAAGAAUAUGUUGGGAAAGUCCUCGGAUUAGUACCUGGUUACCCAGCGUGGUUCAACAUCAAAUACAACGAGGAUGAUGCCAUUUACACCUACCGGCUCCUAGAUGACUACAAGCAGGGUGACUUGAAAAUUGUUUGUUAGAUUCUCCUUUUCAAGUUUGUUCAUUCGUUCAUCAGUUGGAGUUGGAUGCUACAGUCACAUUGGCCUUGUUUUCCCCUUGUCCCUGUCCUCUAGACUGAAUCUGAUUUUUUUGCAGUAAGUAUAAGUUAUUGCAUGAUUGGAGUUUCAGAUCUAUUUUAUGAAAAAAAAAUUGAUGUAGAUAGAUGUGAACACAGUUCAUUGCUAACUCAGAAGCUGAUGUUGGUAUAUCUCUUUUUUUCUCAACAAAAGUUUGACUCCAGCAAGCAUGUGAGUGUUACAAGUCAUCUCCUUCGUACCCUGUGUCUUGGAGAAAAGCCAAUCCAGUUUCUGGUGCAGUUUAGAGCUGGGCUCCAGCAAGCAUCGGAGUGUUACAAGUCAUCUCCUUCGUACUUUGUGUCUUGGAGAAAAGCCAUUCCAGUAUCUGGUGCAGUUUAGAGCUGGGCUCCAGCAAGCAUCCGAGUAUUACAAGUCAUCUCCUUUGUACUCUGUGUCUUGGAGAAAAGCCAUUCCAGUAUCUGGUGCAGUUUAGAGUUGGGCUACAACAAGCAUCCGUGUGUUACAAGUCAUCUCCUUCGUACCCUGUGUCUUGGAGAAAAGCCAUUCCAGUAUCUGGUGCAGUUUAGAGUUGGGCUACAACAAGCAUCCGUGUGUUACAAGUCAUCUCCUUCGUACCCUGUGUCUUGGAGAAAAGCCAAUCCAGUAUCUGGUGCAGUUUAGAGUUUGGCUCCAGCAAGCAUCCGAGUGUUUCAAGUCAUCUCCUUCUUACCCUAUCCCUUGGAAAAAACCUGUUCAGGAUCUGCUGCAGUUUAAAGUUUGGCUCCAGCAAGCAUCCGAGUGUAACAAGUCAUCCCUAUCCCUUGGAAGAAACUAGUUCAGGAUCUGCUGCAGUUUAAAGGUAACUGAGGCAAACAAAUAUAAAUCCAAUGUAUUUGCCUGAACACAACAUUGAAUAUUUUUUUACAUAUUAACGACAUUCACGUCUAAAUGUAAUAAGUGUGACACAUCAACAUAUAAUUUGGCACUUCAUAUUUUUGUGACAUUAAAGGCACACACUAAUUUAUGCAUAUGGUUUGCAUAAACAUAGAAAUAUGUGUUUUAGAGUUUCUAGAACAUAUUCAAAUUAUUAUUUAUUAAUAUGAUGAAGUUAUCAUAAAAUAGAGUAUACUUUUUGUGUGUGAAAAACCAAGUC